CAGUAGCCGCGGGAAUACGUAGGUGGCAAGCGUUGUCCGGAAUUAUUGGGCGUAAAGGGCUCGCAGGCGGUUUCUUAAGUCUGAUGUGAAAGCCCCCGGCUCAACCGGGGUGGGUCAUUGGAAACUGGGAAAUUUGAGUGCAGAAGAGGAGAGUGGAAUUCCACGUGUAGCGGUGAAAUGCGUAGAGAUGUGGAGGAACACCAGUGGCGAAGGCGACUCUCUGGUCUGUAACUGACGCUGAGGAGCGAAAGCGUGGGGAGCGAACAGGAUUAGAUACCCGGGUAGUCCCUGUCUCUUAUAC
rnacentral:rRNA from 1 species